rnacentral:rRNA from 1 species
AAGGACUGGUGGAGUGCUUAGAAGUGAGAAUGCCGGUAUGAGUAGCGAAAGACGGGUGAGAAUCCCGUCCACCGAAUGCCUAAGGUUUCCUGAGGAAGGCUCGUCCGCUCAGGGUUAGUCAGGACCUAAGCCGAGGCCGACAGGCGUAGGCGAUGGACAACAGGUUGAUAUUCCUGUACCACCUCUUUAUCGUUUGAGCAAUGGAGGGACGCAGAAGGAUAGAAGAAGCGUGCGAUUGGUUGUGCACGUCCAAGCAAUUAGGCUGAUAAGUAGGCAAAUCCGCUUAUCGUGAAGGCUGAGUUGUGAUGGGGAAGCUCCUUAUGGAGCGAAGUCUUUGAUUCCCCGCUGCCAAGAAAAGCUUCUAGCGAGAUAAAAGGUGCCUGUACCGCAAACCGACACAGGUAGGCGAGGAGAGAAUCCUAAGGUGUGCGAGAGAACUCUGGUUAAGGAACUCGGCAAAAUGACCCCGUAACUUCGGGAGAAGGGGUGCUUUCUUAACGGAAAGCCGCAGUGAAUAGGCCCAAGCGACUGUUUAGCAAAAACACAGCUCUCUGCGAAGCCGUAAGGCGAAGUAUAGGGGGUGACACCUGCCCGGUGCUGGAAGGUUAAGGAGAGGGGUUAGCGUAAGCGAAGCUCUGAACUGAAGCCCCAGUAAACGGCGGCCGUAACUAUAACGGUCCUAAGGUAGCGAAAUUCCUUGUCGGGUAAGUUCCGACCCGCACGAAAGGUGUAACGAUUUGGGCACUGUCUCAACCAGAGACUCGGUGAAAUUAUAGUACCUGUGAAGAUGCAGGUUACCCGCGACAGGACGGAAAGACCCCGUGGAGCUUUACUGUAGCCUGAUAUUGAAUUUUGGUACAGUUUGUACAGGAUAGGCGGGAGCCAUUGAAACCGGAGCGCUAGCUUCGGUGGAGGCGCUGGUGGGAUACCGCCCUGACUGUAUUGAAAUUCUAACCUACGGGUCUUAUCGACCCGGGAGACAGUGUCAGGUGGGCAGUUUGACUGGGGCGGUCGCCUCCUAAAGUGUAACGGAGGCGCCCAAAGGUUCCCUCAGAAUGGUUGGAAAUCAUUCGUAGAGUGCAAAGGCAUAAGGGAGCUUGACUGCGAGACCUACAAGUCGAGCAGGGACGAAAGUCGGGCUUAGUGAUCCGGUGGUUCCGCAUGGAAGGGCCAUCGCUCAACGGAUAAAAGCUACCCCGGGGAUAACAGGCUUAUCUCCCCCAAGAGUCCACAUCGACGGGGAGGUUUGGCACCUCGAUGUCGGCUCAUCGCAUCCUGGGGCUGUAGUCGGUCCCAAGGGUUGGGCUGUUCGCCCAUUAAAGCGGUACGCGAGCUGGGUUCAGAACGUCGUGAGACAGUUCGGUCCCUAUCCGUCGUGGGCGUAGGAAAUUUGAGAGGAGCUGUCCUUAGUACGAGAGGACCGGGAUGGACGCACCGCUGGUGUACCAGUUGUUCUGCCAAGGGCAUAGCUGGGUAGCUAUGUGCGGAAGGGAUAAGUGCUGAAAGCAUCUAAGCAUGAAGCCCCCCUCAAGAUGAGAUUUCCCAUAGCGUAAGCUAGUAAGAUCCCUGAAAGAUGAUCAGGUUGAUAGGUUCGAGGUGGAAGCAUGGUGACAUGUGGAGCUGACGAAUACUAAUAGAUCGAGGACUUAACCAUAUAA